rnacentral:rRNA from 1 species
GCCAGCCCGCUCAAGAACUUAAAGGAAGUUGACGGGGCCCGCACAAGCGGAGGAGCAUGUGGUUUAAUUCGAUGAUACGCGAGGAACCUUACCUGGGCUCGAACGUAAGAUGACUGUGGGUGAAAGCUUUACAUCUCUUCGGAGCAUUUUACGAGGUGCUGCAUGGUUGUCGUCAGCUCGUGCCGUGAGGUGUCGGGUUAAGUCCCAUAACGAGCGCAACCCUACCUUUAGUUGCCAUCAGGUAAUGCUGGGGACUCUAAAGGAACUGCCUACGCAAGUAGUGAGGAAGGCGGGGAUGACGUCAAAUCAGCACGGCCCUUACGUCCAGGGCUACACACGUGCUACAAUGGCCGAUACAGAGGGCAGCUACCUGGUGACAGGAUGCAAAUCUCCAAAGUCGGUCUCAGUUCGGAUCGGAGUCUGCAACCCGACUCCGUGAAGUUGGAUUCGCUAGUAAUCGCGCAUCAGCCAUGGCGCGGUGAAUACGUUCCCGGGCCUU